AUUUAUAUAGUUUAAAAAAAACAUUACAUUUUCAUUGUAAAAACAAAAAAAAAUUUUUUUAUAAAUA
rnacentral:tRNA from 1 species